ensembl:misc_RNA Metazoa_SRP Metazoan signal recognition particle RNA
GCCGGGCAUGGUGGCGCAUGCCUGUAGUCCCAGCAUCUUGGAAGGCUGAGGCAGGAGGAUUACUUGAGCCUGGGAGGUUGAGGCUGCAGUGAGAUGUGAUUGGGGCACUGCACUUCCAGCCUGGGUGACAGAGUGAGAUCCUGUCUCAA